AUCACUUACAGCAAUGAAUGCUUUGAACAAUGUCUGCUGUAUCAUACUUAGUUUUACAAGGGAUUAUCCCUUCAGAGAAUCCAGCAUAGAAAAGUCUAUCAAAAUGAAAUUCCUGGUAACUCUGCAGAGCAGAGGAAUAAAGAGCAGAAUAAGUAAACCAACUGAAGACAAUCCCUAUUAAAAUUAUUGAAUAUCGGAGUUCCCGUCGUGGCGCAGUGGUUAACGAAUCCGACUAGGAACCAUGAGGUUGCGGGUUCGGUCCCUGCCCUUGCUCAGUGGGUUAACGAUCCGGCGUUGCCGUGAGCUGUGGUGCAGGCUGCAGACUGAUCUUCAUUCUUAUACUUCAUGUGUCUUGUGUUUUAAAUCCUUGCUAGCCCAAGUUCACUGAGAUUUUUCUCCUUUAUUUUCUUCCAGAAGUUUUAUGGGCUCAAACAUGCCCCUUUGCUUUAGGUCUACAGUCCAUUUCAGGUUAAUUUAUAUAAAUGGCGUGAGGUAAGAGUUAAGGUUCUUUUUUGUGCAUAUGAAUUUCUAAUUGUCCUAAUAUUAUUUGUUGAAAAGAUAAUUAAUCAUGGGAUGAAAAUGAUUCAGCUUCCAUUCUAUUUAACCCUUUCUCCUAAAACAACUCCCUGGCUUAGAUUCCUGUGUCAGCAUUAUCGACAUUCCCUUAUACACACCCUAAACUUCUCUGGUCUCCUCAUUCCCUCAAACAACUGGCAAAACCCCAAUCCUAAAUAAUCUAACACUGCCUGUUCUAUAUGUGAACUCUUGCAGUAAAAGUGACAAAAAGAAACCAUGCAUCUCUGCUGACCAAUAACACUGUAAAUCCACAUCCACUAACCUCAAAUGGGCAUGUGAUGCUAUUCUGUAAUUCUCUAGUUCACUCCCCUAUUCUCUUAGAGGGCUAGUUCAUGUUUAACUCUCUUCCAAUCUAACUUCCUCUCUCCUAUCUUCACUCCUUUAAUGGCUUAGCUUCAUGUGUCAGUGGAAAAACAAGGAACAUACUCCUCUUACACCUAGGAUCUGAGUCCAAAUAAUUGGCAGGAAGGACAGACUGCUGGUGGUCAACCUUUUCCACAUACAUGCCGAUAUACGUCACGUAAAAGCAAUUCCCUCUUCUCGGUAAUCAGUUUCUUCCCCUCUACUGGAUUAUUUCCAUCAGCAUAUAAACUUAAUGCUACUAAUUUUUCCUGCUUAAGAAAAUAUAUCUUGAUCCUACAUACAAUUAGAUAACAAAACAUUUUCUGUAGCUCUAAAUAAUUUAUUUUGUAUGAUUCUCAACAAUCCUGACAUACAAAAAUUUCUUCAAAGCUGAAACAAAAUGGUCUAUGGAAAUGAGACUUUCACAUAAGAAUUUUCAAUAUUUCUUAAAUGAAGUGAAGUUUUAAAACAGGCAGCAUAUUCUACUAUUAUGGCCUGCUAACUGUAGGUUACUUAACCUGACCUUUAAAGUGUGGAUAAAAAUACUUCCCAUCUCACAGGCUAUUGUAAAGAAAAAAAAAUGAAACAAUGAAUGCAUAGAAAAUACUUCAUAUAGUGUCUGGCAAGAAAUAAGCAAACAUUCAGUAAGUGUUAGCUGCUAUUGUUUUUUAACUAUUAUUAAACAGUUAAAAUAAUCAAAAAUAAUUUUAACGGUAACAUUUAAGAAGAGUUGUAUUUAAUGCAAAAUUGUAAGUUCUACUCUAAUUAACACUCAGAUUAGGUGUUAUUUGAAAAUAGUAAGCACUUUACUGAAAUGUCUAUAUUUCUUUUAUAAAGAUAAAUACAUGAUCUGUAACAAAGUCUAAAUCUUCGUAGGGAAAAAAUGUGGAAAACUACUACUCAUCAAUUCAUAUUCCUCUGCUUACACUGCUCCAUAGAAUGUCCUGUUCUUUCAUCUAUCCUUUUCCACAAUUCAACUAAACAAGUGUCUGAAUGCCUUAAAAUGCAAGACAGUAUAGUAUCCUAGCUAGAUCAAUAGAAAUUAGAAAAGAAUCCUUUUUUUUCCACUAUGCUUUCCUGAAACCAGAAGAAAAAGCUUAUUUUAUAUCCCACUCAUUGAUGUUAACAAUAUCUACCUAGAUCAGAGCUAAGAUAUAUUUUAUUUCACAUUUUGUCUUCCUAUCACACAAAGUCCCUUCCAUGAACUAACUUGCAUCCAAAAUACUGACAGUUCCACUAAAUGAGGCAAAGGUUUAAUAGGGGGCGUCACUCACAGAAAAUUAAACCAGUAAACCUAAGACCUGUUCAGUGGGGUUUCUCAGGUGAGUUUUAUUUUUUCCUCCCCAUUCAAUCUAUACAACAAUUUUCCAAACUGUACUCAUAAUGCAUUCAUUACCAGGAUAACUACACAGAGGCAUAUAAAUAAACCAUGGCAGAACCAGAGCUGACCAAACAUGAUUUGACAGAUCCAGGCCAUCCAACUGCAAAGCUUCUGAAUAUGCACCCCCACAGACCUAUGCAACACCAGCCUUUGGCUCCAACAUAUGCUCCUUUCCUUCCUGUAGGCCUAGUUCUGGCUUUUGAGGAAAGAAAAAUAAAGCUGUCGGCUGAGUGGAUCAAACUUCUAGCAGGGUAAAUAGAAAAAAGAUUGUCAUAUAAAUCCCUUCAAACAAAGAUUUGCUCAACAGAAAUGAAGGCAACUUAGUUAUAAAUGAUAAUAAAAUGAAAAUUCAAUAUAUUUUAAUUUUUUAAUGAUCAAAGUCUAUUGAAUACCUCUCAGAUAAAGCAAUUUUGGAAUUCCCUUGUGCACAGUGGGUUAAGAAUCUGGCAUCACUGCUGUGGCAUGGGUUUGAUCCCUGGCCUUGGAAACUUCCACAUGCCAUGGGUGCAGCAUAAAAUUAAAUUAAAUUAAAAUAAACUAUUUGAUUACAUUUUCAAAGCAAAAUUUCCUUUUUUUUUUUAGACAUCUCAUUGCCAAAUCCUGGAUAUAAAUAUGGCUGCUUAAGGGAAUUGCCUAUCUUGAUUAAGCAUGCAGUUCUCAAAGAUGUUUCAACAAUUCUAAGACAUUAAAAACAGUGGGUAAAAUAAUUCACAACAAAAUAAAAAGAUAAAUGGAAAAACGUACAGUAUUCAAAGAAUGGAAAAAUGUAAAAGAUAAACAUUUCUAGAUAAAUUAUUAAAGAAAAAGAAACGCUGGUUCUUUAGAUUCCAAAUGGUCAAAUGACUUAGCAUGAAAGUUUAGUACAAACCUAUCU
rnacentral:lncRNA from 1 species